AGGCCCUGGUGUAACAUGCCUCCUCUCCUGCAGCCUCCACCACGGCCCCGAAGGUCUUCCCGCUGGCCUCGCACUCUGCGGCCACAUCUGGCUCCACGGUGGCCCUGGGCUGCCUGGUCUCCAGCUACUUCCCAGAGCCGGUGACCGUGUCCUGGAACUCAGGAGCCCUGACCAGCGGCGUGCACACCUUCCCGUCCGUCCUGCAGUCCUCGGGGCUCUACUCCCUCAGCAGCAUGGUGACCGUGCCUGCCAGCAGCUUGAAGAGCCAGACCUACAUCUGCAACGUAGCCCACCCGGCCAGCAGCACCAAGGUGGACAAGAAAAUCGUCAUAAAAGAGUGUGGCGGCUGCCCCACAUGCCCAGAAUGUCUCUCAGUUGGGCCUUCCGUGUUCAUCUUCCCCCCAAAACCCAAGGACGUCCUCAUGAUCUCCCGAACACCCACGGUCACCUGUGUGGUGGUGGACGUGGGUCACGACUUCCCCGAUGUCCAGUUCAACUGGUACGUGGAUGGAGUGGAGACGCACACAGCCACAACGGAGCCAAAGCAGGAACAGAACAACAGCACUUACCGCGUGGUCAGCAUCCUCGCCAUCCAGCACAAGGACUGGCUGUCCGGAAAGGAGUUCAAGUGUAAGGUCAACAACCAAGCCCUCCCAGCCCCUGUCCAGAAGACCAUCUCCAAGCCCACAGGGCAGCCCCGGGAGCCGCAGGUGUAUGUCCUGGCCCCACACCGGGAUGAGUUGUCCAAGAACAAGGUCAGCGUGACCUGCCUGGUCAAGGACUUCUACCCAACUGACAUUGACAUCGAGUGGAAGAGCAACGGGCAGCCAGAGCCGGAGACCAAGUACAGCACCACCCCAGCCCAGCUGGACAGCGACGGGUCCUACUUCCUGUACAGCAAGCUCACUGUGGAGACUAACAGGUGGCAGCAGGGAACGACAUUCACGUGUGCGGUGAUGCACGAGGCUCUCCACAAUCACUACACGGAGAAAUCCGUCUCCAAGUCUCCCGGUAAAUGAGCCACACACCCAGCAACCAGCAAGCCAUCCCUCCCUCCCCAUGGGCUCUCCAGGUCCCACAAGGAGACCUGAGCCCCCACCCUGGUGUACAUACCUCCCGGGCACCCAGCAUGAAAUAAAGCACCCAGCAUGGCCCUGGGACCCUGUGA